GAAAGUUUGAAACCCUUACUCAUUACCCUAACUACGCCGUGACGCUGUUGUCCUGGUUGGCCUCUGCGACGAUCUCCGAUCCUCUGGCGUUUACUGACGACCUUCUCUGUGACAUUUCCUCCGGCAUCGAUCUCCAUCGACGACAUCUCCUACAGCGGCGAUUUCAUCCGGUGUCGUCUCCUGCAACUUCCUCUCCUUGUCGUCCUCUGUGUCUUCUCCGCCAAAAUCGUCAACGCCUUCCUCUUCGACGAUCCAGAUCCGCCGCUAGGGAUUGCAUUCCGCAGGAGAGGAAUUCCUUUGUCAACUUCCAAGCCAAAACCGGUGUAGAGAAUGCAGAACUGUGUCUGGUGUUGCUGGACCGUUGGAUACUCUUGAUAAAGUUAAGGCUGCCAUUGUGAAUUCACAGACCCUUGAAGAAGUUGCAAGACUUAAAAAGGUUAGGGACUUAACCUCUCAUCUGAAUGCUCUAGCAGAGUCAGAAACAGAGGGUGUCCAAGGAGCUGCUGCGGUUUUUAAUCAGGUCCCCCUUUAGAAACAUAAACACAAAUAUGAAGGCUAUGCUAUAGACUGGAGUCUUCUUGUUCCCGGAGCCGGAAGGCUUGUAUCUGGUAAUAUUUGGUUAUUUCUUUUUCUCUGUUUAGCUACAUUUUAUAAACAUUGAAUAUUGACAAUACUCGAUUUGUUGGGCAUACUGCUAGUGUUAAAGAUCUGCUAAUUAUAUUGGGGGUUUAUGAGACCUCUUAACUAUCAAAUAGCAAGAGCACAUGUUCUUUGUGAUGUCAUUGUAAUUUCUAGUAAUGAGAAGAACCGGGUUUCCCUAAUUUCUUAUUAACUUCACUUUGAUAUAUAUAUAUGUAGCCAUUUAACUAACAGCAAAGUUGAGCAGUGUUUUCUCUGAACUUGUGUCUAUUUCUCUCUGUUUCAAAUUCCAAUUACUUAGCUUCCUUUGAAUUGUAGUUUUCAUCAUCUAUUUUUUUUAAUUAAAAAUAAAUGAUAAUAAUAAUCUCAAGUUUUUUCCCGUGAGACUGAGACUUAGAUCCACCACUCUCUGAUUCAGGUUAAUUUAUUUAUUUAUUUAUUUAUUUAUAAUUAAAAUAAAUUGUGUAAGGAACAGUCACUAUCUCAUUGGAUUCAAUACCCUAAAGCAGUAGUAGUUCAUGCUUAGGGUUUCAGCUUUUAUUAUAAUAAUUAUUGCUUUGUUUGUUUAUUUUAAUUAUUUUUUGUCUCUCUUCCAAUUAGAAGUACUCUAAAAUGGCAAUAGCAAUCUCUAUCUUUGAAACUGUUGCUAUCAACAAACAACAUUGUAGUGUGUCAAACAGUGAGAUAUAUAGAUAUGGGUAAUUUCAUAUGUGUAACAUGUGCUUAAUAACAUGAAUUAUGUUAUCAAUAAUCUGCUUAGUUUACUUAAUUAAUCAAUGGCUUGCUAUGUUAUGUACAUUAUAUAAUAACAAAUUAACAAGUUGGUUAAUGGGUUUGCUUUGAGUAUUUAUGCUGGGAUGGUUGUCAGAAUAAAUAAGUCUUUGAAUGGCAUGUAAUAGUUAUUCAUAUGGCAAAGGAAACAGUUAGCAUAAAUCAUACCCUUUAAAUCCAAGUCUCUUCUUGUUAUGUGGGGUGCUUUAUUGUUACCUUUUUGGCUAUUACCUAUUGAAAUGUCAUGAAGUAUGAUAUACAACUCUGAUUAAAACCUACUUCUUAAUAACUUGAUUUAAAUUUGAUUAGUAUAAUAAAUCAACUUUGAAAUGGUAUACCUAGAUAGUGGUGUAAGUUAUCUUUCUUUGACCAUAGUCAAUAUUUUAUAUUUAUAUUUUUUGGGCAUAACACCCAGUUGCUAAACCCAAAAGGAUAUCAAGGCAUAGUUCAAUUAUUAAGCUUUUUUUGUGCAAAGUUCAAAACAAAUAUUUAGUAUUCUCCUUUUUUUUCUCAAUUAAGCAUUCUCCUUUUUUUCCCCAACUGUUAAGCUAUUUGGACUGCUGUCUAACAUUAAAAGCAACAACAGUAAUAUGAAGCAGUAAUUAAAUUAAAGUUCUCCAUCUUCAGGAUUGAAUGCUUGAUUUUGUAGGUCCUCGGAUUGAUCGUCGUUGUCGCUCUCUGUCUUGUUACCACCCUCCGUUUGCUCAUAGUCGCUGGCGACAGAAGCAGUAGGUUCCGGGGCUGGUCGUCUUUGUCGUCUCCUUGCUCCGAGUCUCACCAUCAGCUUCCUUCACGCAACCAAAAGUUGGUCCCCGAUUUGGUGAGUUCCAACAAAUUCCCCUGUUCUUUCUUUGUCAGUUUUGUUGCUGUAAUACAUGACUACAUUUUGAUUUUGUUGUUGAAAAUAUCACUGAACUAGUAUUUUUGCUGCUGAAAAUAAUCAGUGGUAUGAGUUUGUUACUAACGCUGCACUUGCUUCAACUAGGAUUAUUAGUAUCAAUGGAAAACCCUCAAUUGUAUACUAACAAGAAUGAAGUUAAAAGGGUAGAAGAGGGUCGCAUCAUUAUUUCAGAUGCAAUAUUGGGCACUACUGGAAGGAAAGUUAAAGUUCUAGAAAUAUCAAAUAAUCACAUAGAAGAAGUUCAGAGACAGAUACAGUGUUUUAAUAAUUCUUUGGAACUCUCAUCCCAACAUUUUUUACAAGGGCUUGUUUAUUUUCGCGAGGGGGAGACAUGGGUUUUUAUUUACCAGCAUUAUGACAAGGACUUAGCUGAUGCCUGGGUCGAGGAUUGGGACAAAUUCAAGCUUUAUCUAAAGCAAUUCUUACAGGCUCUCGCAAUAUUAUAUGACGGGAAUAAUAUGUAUCAUGGGAAGUUAAGAGACUACAACUUGGUAAUAAGUGGGGAUAGAGCCUUUGUUUGUGGAGUUGAGGGAAAUCAUCUUCCUGAUGGUUUUAAAGAUCAAUUUUUUACUGAUGAGAUGGACGUUCUACGUGGGCUCUUAUUAGCUUCACAUAAUCUCGGUCAAACUCCAGAGGAAAUCGAUAUGUUUUUACAUUUUAUACGAACGUGUAUAUCAAGGAAGAUGAUUUUUUGUCAUCCGUUUUUCUUAAAUUUUCAACAUAAAUUAUAUUAUUUUCUUAUUGCCAACGAAUAUUUAAAUAAGCAUUUAAGAGGUGUUGCCCAAGGUCAAGUCCUGUCAUCAAGAAUUGAAACGCUGUUUCGAAACCGGAGGAUACAUCAGGCAAAUUGGUUCAAUGGAGUGAACCGAGUGAACGAUCCGGUGAUGAUGCAAAGUUUGAACAGUGGAAACUAUAAUGGUACUGUUACUCUUGCGUUUCUUCGAUUUGCAAGGAAUUGUAUUGCUCACCUUAACAUGCAGGCAAAUGUUGAGGUGUGUCAACAAGCUGAAACUUUGACGAGAAAUAUUGAAGAAUCCUACCCUUUUUUUCUAUUUGCAUUACAUGAUGCAUUUGUGCAAAACAGCAUUUAUAUAUUUGAUAUGCCCUAAUGGCUUAUCUAAAGCUUUCCAAGCUGCCUCUGCGUGCACUAAUUCAGCUAUUAUCUCGAACUUGCAAAAAGAGGCAGUUGGAGCAGAAGAUACCCCCUUGGAGGUUGGUCUGUAAGGUUGCAUUCUGUUGCCCAGGGAACUCUGAAUGUUCCAGGAUUGAGCUUCGGAGUUGGUCCAAAAGGAGGACUUGGUGAACAUGGUGAUGCUGUAUCUUGACAGUUCAUUCUUACAAAGGUGUCACUCGUGGAAAGGCGUCCUGAGAAUUACGAAGCUGUUACUGUUUGUCCUUUGUCUUCAGUAAGCUCCCUUGUUCGGUUUGCUGAAGAGCCCCUGAUGUUUGCAGUUGAAUUCAGUGAUGGAUGCCCUAUCCAUGGUCAAUGUGCCAUACUUGUAUUGCCAAGGCUGACAAUGCCUGGUCAUCGGAUUGAUCCUCCCUGUGGAAGUGUUUAUUUGCAAUAUGGUCAGCAAAAGUCAGUUGCUGAUGCUGAAAUUGCUUCAAUGCAUUUGAAUUUUGAAACAUUUAACAGCAGCUGCCAAGGAUGCUGUUGCUGAAGGUGGUUCCAUUCCUGGAUCAAGAGCUAAACUAUGGCGAAGAAUAAGGGAGUUCAAUGCAUGUAUACCUUUUAGUGAGGUUACCUUGGCCUUGAUUACUAUGCUUCCUGCAGCUCCAAAUCUUCCUCCAGAAUCUCCUCCUUUGCCACCCCGUC